GACCGUCACAGACAAAGGAGCCAGUCAAACAUCCAGUAUCGCUCCGAAGAAGAACCUGAUAAGGUGGUCUAUGCAAGCAUCUGCAAAAAGUAAUGUGCAGCAAUCAAAUGGAUGAACAAAACAAAAAGUCUACAUAUAAAACAUGAAAUCUCAUGUCUGUACGGUGCAAUUCCAUUAGAGAUGGAAGAAGACAAUGUAAAGCUUCUCCUGUGAUUUGUUAAUAUUUAAUAUUUGCCACUAUUGCAUUCUUUCAUGCUAAAUGAAGCUUUCAGUAAGUAAUAAUAUUUUGACUUUGACUGUAAAGUAGAUGUUUGUAUUCUGUAAAAUAUAAACAUUAUAGCCAUGUUACAUUUA